UUUUCAAAAUAGCCUCUAUAGUUGUUGUCAUUUGUUACUAAGAAAGCCUUUUCAAGUUACCAUAUUUUUUCUCAUUAUAUUUCACAAAUUAAUUUAUUAUUUGUUAAUACUUAAUGACCCACCAUCUUUCUUUCUAAAACUGCAUCUUAUUUAGUAACUGUCACGAGACAUUAAUUAUAUUAUUUAUAUUUUUAAAAUUUUAUUCAUUCUUAAAAUUACUUCAAGUUAUAUAUAUAUAUAUAUAGUAACUCCUAAAUAUUUUGGUCCUAUAAU
rnacentral:lncRNA from 1 species